AUUGAACGCUGGCGGCAGGCCUAACACAUGCAAGUCGAGCGGAGCGGCGGACGGGUGAGUAAUGCCUAGGAAUUUGCCUGUUAGUGGGGGAUAACGUCCGGAAACGGGCGCUAAUACCGCAUACUAUCAGAUGACCCUAGGUGGGAUUAGCUAGUUGGUGGGGUAAAGGCCUACCAAGGCGACGAUCCGUAACUGGUCUGAGAGGAUGAUCAGUCACACUGGAACUGAGACACGGUCCAGACUCCUACGGGAGGCAGCAGUGGGGAAUAUUGGACAAUGGGCGAAAGCCUGAUGCAGCAAUGCCGCGUGUAUGAAGAAGGCCUUAGGGUUGUAAAGUACUUUCAGCGGGGAGGCGUUACCCGCAGAAGAAGCCCCGGCUAACUCCGUGCCAGCAGCCGCGGUAAUUC
rnacentral:rRNA from 1 species